GCGCCCGUAGCUUAAUGGAUAGAGCAUCUGACUACGGAUCAGAAGGUUGGGGUUUCGAGUACCUCCGGGCGCG
rnacentral:tRNA from 1 species